GCUUAUGGCCAUACCACCCUGAGAACGCCCGAUCUCGUCUGAUCUCGGAAGCUAAGCUGGGUCGGGUCUGGUUAGUACUUGGAUGGGAGACCGCCUGGGAAUACCAGGUGCUGUAAGCU
rnacentral:rRNA from 1 species